rnacentral:siRNA from 1 species
GAAACAAUCGAGGUGCAUAUGU